GACGAACGCUGGCGGCGUGCUUAACACAUGCAAGUCGAACGGAAAGGCCCUGCUUUUGUGGGGUGCUCGAGUGGCGAACGGGUGAGUAACACGUGAGUAACCUGCCCUUGACUUUAGGAUAACUUCAGGAAACUGGGGCUAAUACCGGAUAGGAGCUCCUGCUGCAUGAUGGGGGUUGGAAAGUUUCGGCGGUUGGGGAUGGACUCGCGGCUUACCAGCUUGUUGGUGGGGUAGUGGCUUACCAAGGCCUUGACGGGUAGCCGGCCUGCGCGGGUGACAGGCCACACUGGGACUGAGAUACGGCCCAGACUCCUACGGGAGGCAGCGGAGGAGAAGAGUGCACAAGGGGCGGAAGCCUGAUGCAGCAACGCCGCGUGCGGGAUGACGGCCUUCGGGUUGUAAAGCGCUUCCGUCUGUGACGAAGAGUGAGUGACGGUAAUGGGUAAAGAAGCACCGGCUAACUACGUG
rnacentral:rRNA from 1 species